UACGUAGGGUGCAAGCGUUGUCCGGAAUUAUUGGGCGUAAAGAGCUCGUAGGCGGUGUGUCACGUCGUUCGUGAAAACCUGCAGCUUAACUGUGGGCGUGCGGUCGAUACGGGCAUCACUGGAGUUCGGCAGGGGAGACUGGAAUUCCUGGUGAUAGCGGUGGAAUGCGCAGAUAUCAGGAGGAACACCGGUGGCGAAGGCGGGUCUCUGGGCAGUAACUGACGCUGAGGAGCGAAAGCGU
rnacentral:rRNA from 1 species